UACGAAGGGGGCUAGCGUUGCUCGGAAUCACUGGGCUUAAAGGGCGCGUAGGCGGGUGACCAAGUCAGGGGUGAAAUCUUUCGGCUCAACCGGAAAAGUGCCUCUGAUACUGGUCGUCUUGAGGGAGGUAGGGGUCGAGGGAACUGGUGGUGGAGCGGUGAAAUGCGUAGAUAUCACUAGGAACGCCGGUGGCGAAAGCGCUCGACUGGACCUCUUCUGACGCUGAGGCGCGAAAGCCAGGGGAGCAAACGGG
rnacentral:rRNA from 1 species